GGAAGAGUGGCGGAAUGGUAUCGCAACUGUCUUGAAAAUAGUGGUCUUAUGGGCUUGGGGGUUCGAGUCCCUCCUCUUCCG
rnacentral:tRNA from 1 species